GACGAACGCUGGCGGCGUGCUUAACACAUGCAAGUCGAACGGUAAGGCCCUUCGGGGUACACGAGUGGCGAACGGGUGAGUAACACGUGGGUGAUCUGCCCUGCACUUCGGGAUAAGCCUGGGAAACUGGGUCUAAUACCGGAUAGGACUCCUGGCUUCAUGGUUGGGGGUGGAAAGCUUUUGCGGUGUGGGAUGGGCCCGCGGCCUAUCAGCUUGUUGGUGGGGUAAUGGCCUACCAAGGCGACGACGGGUAGCCGGCCUGAGAGGGUGACCGGUAACACUGGGACUGAGAUACGGCCCAGACUCCUACGGGAGGCAGCAGUGGGGAAUAUUGCACAAUGGGCGCAAGCCUGAUGCAGCGACGCCGCGUGAGGGAUGACGUCCUUCGGGUUGUAAACCUCUUUCAGCUAUGACGAAGCGCAAGUGACGGUAGUAGCAGAAGAAGGACCGGCCAACUACGUGCCAGCCGCCGCCGCGG
rnacentral:rRNA from 1 species